AAAUUGAAGAGUUUGAUCAUGGCUCAGAUUGAACGCUGGCGGCAGGCCUAACACAUGCAAGUCGAACGGUAACAGGAAGAAGCUUGCUUCUUUGCUGACGAGUGGCGGACGGGUGAGUAAUGUCUGGGAAACUGCCUGAUGGAGGGGGAUAACUACUGGAAACGGUAGCUAAUACCGCAUAACGUCGCAAGACCAAAGAGGGGGACCUUCGGGCCUCUUGCCAUCGGAUGUGCCCAGAUGGGAUUAGCUAGUAGGUGGGGUAACGGCUCACC
rnacentral:rRNA from 2 species